rnacentral:rRNA from 1 species
UACGUAGGUGGCAAGCGUUGUCCGGAUUUACUGGGCGUAAAGAGCGCGCAGGCGGUCGUUCAAGUCGCGUGUGAAAGCCCCCGGCUCAACUGGGGAGGGUCACGCGAUACUGAUCGACUCGAAGGCAGGAGAGGGUAGUGGAAUUCCCGGUGUAGUGGUGAAAUGCGUAGAUAUCGGGAGGAACACCAGUGGCGAAGGCGACUAUCUGGGGUGCAACUGACGCUGAGGCGCGAAGGCUAGGGUAGCAAACAGG